AUAAGAGGCAUUUGGUUCAGUUAACCGGAGAGGAAGAGCGAUGGGGAAUUGUGGCAAAGUGAAUAUUGGCUCUGAAUACGUGCAAGGCUCAAGUGGUUCCUCCUUCAGAAAAACAAUAUUACGAAGCCAAGUGUUCAGAGGACACCAAGGACUCGACAACCUCCAUUUCCUCUGGACAAAGUGUCCUUGAACUCUUUCAUCUGGGACACCUCCCCGCUCCCUCACGCUUUGCCUGAAAUCUUGUCUGACCCCCAAAGAUGGAACAGAAGGAGAAAAGCAAAAGGAAAUUGAAGGUGUGUGGGAGCCUGCUUGUCUCUGUCUUGCUUUUCUCAACCACAGGGACAUUAUCUGAGUCUAAAAGGGAAGCAGCACGGCGUAAUGGAUAGAGCACGGGCCUGGGAGUCGGGAGGUCAUAGAUUAUAAUCCUGGCUCUGUCACUUCUCUGCUGUGUGACUUGAGCCAAGUCACUUCACUUUUCUGGGCCUCAGUUCUCUCAUCUAAAAUGGGGAUUGAAACUGUGAGCCCCAUGUGGGACAGGGACUGUGUCCAACCUGAUUACCUUGUAUCUACCCCAGUGCUUGGCACAUAGUAUGCAUUUUUAAAAUGCCAUAAUAAUAAUUAUUAAUAAUAAUAAUUCAAUCCUCUCUCAAAUCCAUUGAUUCUAGACAGGCCCAGUCGGUUUCCCUGUAUGAUCUGCCCUCAG
rnacentral:lncRNA from 1 species